rnacentral:lncRNA from 1 species
CCGAUGAAUAAUUUUGCUAUUUUUUAAAAUACUGGCCGCCAUCAUCAAGCAGCGAGCAGCAGCAGAAGCGUUGAAGGGAGAGGAGGCAUCGGGACAGGCCCCUCUUAGGAGAGGAUUUAUAUCUAGUUGGAAAAAAAAAGAAAGAAAAGAAAAAGAAGAAAAAGAAGAAAAAAAUUGUCAAGCCCCCGAACUGAAGGUUACGAGCGGCCCGUCAGCAGCCCACAUGUAACCGAACUGUCGUGUUUCAUGGCUUUUUGCCACUCCAGCUGUCAAUCAAAGCCCGGAAUGUCAAGGUAGUGAAUGAAUGAUGGUUGAUGAUGAUGAAGAGGAGGAAUCUUUCAGACCCGUUUUUUUCUUCCAGUAAAACUCCGCGAGGGGUUUCUGCUUCUUGAAUUUUUUCCUCCCCCCUCCCCCCUUUUUUAGCUUUGCCCCCGCGGUAUCUAUAAUACGAUCCUCUCUCUUUAAAGUAUUGUUCAAAGAAAGCAGUGAGAAAAAUCAAGAAAAAAAAAUGAAUAGUUUGCAAAAAUUGGACUUCCUCCCCCCCUUUCCUGAAGAACUCCAAGAUUAAAAGUAUCCUUAUUUGUUGCUGAGUUGCUCGUCGACAUUUAAGAGAAGGUGUUGCAGGAACUCAGAGAGAGGGGAGAGUGGCUGAAACGCUUAAUUACCGGAGGCGAAGGAGGGGCGCGCGGGGGACCGAAGGAGAGGGGAGUGAAGAAGGAAGGUCCUUUACCAGGCUUGUACCUGGAGAAAGCUUUGAAUCGCUUCUCUGCUAUAUUUGGAAAAGGUAUGCUUGCUUUUUAAAAAAAUGCCUUUAGGGCAAAGUGAUACCCUUGUGUAAUAAUUAACUCAGACAAUAAAAAUAAUUGGAAAAUCAGUUGGAAUUUCUGAGUUUUUAAUUACGUUUAAUUUCGUACUAAGCCGUAAAAUUACGAAUGCCCCUCAAUUAAACACUCUCCUCUUGUAAAGCGUUUAACAACAAUUAUUCCUUAAUCAGUCUGAAUGUGAGUCACAAAUGGUGCUUUUCCACAUCAAAGAGACGUCCUUCCACGUUACCUUUUAGUCAUAAGUAAGAGGAUUAAUUCCUAUAAUUAGAGGGAUAAAUAUGUGCAUAAAUAUAUCUCUCACCCUCUCCUUAAAAAACAAAACAAAACACUUUCACUCUGUGUGAUACGUGGCCGGCUAU